UACGAAGGGGGCUAGCGUUGCUCGGAAUUACUGGGCGUAAAGGGCGCGUAGGCGGCGUGCACAGUCAGGCGUGAAAUUCCUGGGCUUAACCUGGGGGCUGCGUUUGAUACUUGCAUGCUAGAGGAUGGAAGAGGGUCGUGGAAUUCCCAGUGUAGAGGUGAAAUUCGUAGAUAUUGGGAAGAACACCGGUGGCGAAGGCGGCGACCUGGUCCAUUACUGACGCUGAGGCGCGACAGCGUGGGGAGCAAACAGG
rnacentral:rRNA from 1 species